rnacentral:rRNA from 1 species
UGCAUCGAUGAAGAACGCAGCGAAAUGCGAUACGUAGUGUGAAUUGCAGAAUUCCGCGAAUCAUCGAGUCUUUGAACGCAAGUUGCGCCCGAGGCUUGUCCGAGGGCAUUUCCGCUAGAGCGUCACCGCGCCCCCCACCGAUCCGCUCCCGCCGCGAGGCGCCAGUCGGUUCGAGUGGAAGUGGCCGUCCCGGUCGCGUCGAGCGAGUGAGGGUCGGCUGAAAUGGAUGGAAUCGGGCCGCCGUGGUGACACAGUCCGCGAUCGGGUGAUUUUCCGCGAGCCUCCCCCGGGAGGGUCGCCGCGAAUUUUUUCUAAGUGCGUGGCUGCGUCCCCCAGUUGGUUUCGGCUCCCUCGUGCAGGUCGUGCGCGCCCCCCGCGGCGCGCGUCACGCAUCAGACCUCUAAUCGGAAAAGACUACCCGCUGAGUUUAAGCAUAUCAAUAAGCGGAGGA